rnacentral:other from 1 species
CCCUGAACGAUUCAGGGAAAGACCCAACUCGUGUCCGGUUGCCUCCCUGGGGGUCCUGGACCCCGGGUCGCGUUCCCCUUUUGUAAUGUCUCUUUGCCUUUGUCUUGGGGAGCGUUUGGUAGGCAUGGCUGGGGGGCAGAUAGGUCCUGUUUCUUCUCGUUCUCUCCUCGUAUCUAAUUGAAAGGGUGAGANNNNNNNNNNCCAAGGGAAGGAAAGCACCCCCAGGUUAUUAAACGAGCGGGGCGGAAAAGAAGCCUUCAGUCGGCGGGCCGGGAGGCGGAGCCGGAUGCCGAAGCUGCUCCACGUACACAUG